GACCCAGCUAGUGAGACUUGAACUUUCAAACGUUAAAAGUUCAGAUGAAACGGAAUUGUGCUCUGCCAUCCAAAAUAUGCCUUUCCUUUGCCGCUUAUUUGUGAUGGCAAGUAACCAUGAGAUUCUACAGAUGAAUGCUUUGAAAUCACCUCCACCAGGCCUUAGGAGACUCUGUUUGGUUGGAAAGCUGGAGAAUAUCCCAGNNNNNNNNNNGGUUUCACUCACUUGAGAGCCUUAGAGUUUUACAUUUGCAUUGGUCCAGACUAGAAAACGAUCCAACUUCACAUCUUCAAGCGCUUCCCAAUUUAAGGUGGCUUAUCCUUGUCAAAGCAUACGAAGGUAGACACCUGCAAUUUCGUCAAGGGUUUACUAAUCUAGAGAUUUUAGAGUUGCUUAAUUUUCCCACACUUGAGCUGAUAACUAUAGCAAAGGGAGUAAUGUCAGGCCUUAAAGAACUAUGCAUUGGCAAUUGUGAAAAUCUGAUGAUGAUUCCUUGGGGUGUCAAAAAUCUUACCAACCUUCAGGAACUGA
rnacentral:misc_RNA from 1 species